rnacentral:lncRNA from 1 species
GAACAGCUGAGCUGGUGCAGGCACCCUCCCCUCUUCCUGAUUUCGGUGGGAAAGUUUCUAAAGUUCCAUCAAGUUUCAUUGCUUGCUCUGAAUUUAUGGCUGAAUAUAUGGCAGGAACCACUUCUACCUUCAGUUCCAAUUGGAAAAUGAAUUUCUCAGUUACUUAUCAACUUAAAUGAUGUGCUCCUCGUCCCCUGCCCUCCUCUCUCUUCUCUCAGAGCCUCAGACUAAGUGAAAAUAUUCCCCUCAGCAUUUGCUGUCUGCUUUCAAGGCUCUUCUAGACGACCUGCCCAUGCUCAGCAUUCAAGUGAGUUGCUGCCCAUGAGAAGGACAAAGCUGAGAUGCUGAGUGGCUGCUUGGUGACUGGCUGGGUGCCACCACCAUCGAUAGACCUUGUUCCUGUUAUUUGUCACCGAGCACAGGUGAUCCAAACUCAUGCCUCAAUAAAAUGAUGAAUUACCUUAACUGCCUUUGGAGUUACUCUGAUCACAAAC